rnacentral:rRNA from 1 species
GUGGGGAAUCUUGCGCAAUGGGCGAAAGCCUGACGCAGCCAUGCCGCGUGAAUGAUGAAGGUCUUAGGAUUGUAAAAUUCUUUCACCGGGGACGAUAAUGACGGUACCCGGAGAAGAAGCAACGGCUAACUUCGUGCCAGCAGCCGCGGUAAUACGAAGGGGGCUAGCGUUGCUCGGAAUUACUGGGCGUAAAGGGCGCGUAGGCGGACAGUUUAGUCAGAGGUGAAAGCCCAGGGCUCAACCUUGGAAUUGCCUUUGAUACGGGCUGUCUUGAGUACGGGAGAGGUGAGUGGAACUCCGAGUGUAGGGGUGAAAUUCGUAGAUAUUCGGAAGAACACCAGUGGCGAAGGCGACUCACUGGCCCGUUACUGACGCUGAGGCGCGAAAGCGUGGGGAGCAAACAGGAUUAGAUACCCCUGUAGUCC